GUAGGUUCAGCAACCCAGGUGCCUUAUACAUGCUCCAGGACUUCGCUGAUUGGCUCCAGUACGAGUCUCUGUGUCAAGACUUAAAGUUGCCAGUUUCUGUGCUGCGGACUUCGCCAUUUCCUUAAGAGGAUAUCCAGUCAGGACUUUGAAUUGCCAGUUUCUGUGCUGCGGACUGCCAUUUCCUGAAGAGGAUUGCCAGUCAAGAUGUUGAAGUGCCAGUUUCUGUGCUGCGGACUUUGCCAUUUCCUGAAGAGGAUUGCCAGUCAAGAUGUUGAAGUGCCAGUUUCUGUGCUGCGGACUUUGCCAUUUCCUGAAGAGGAUAGCCAUUGUUGAUUUUGAAGUGCCAGUUUCUGUGCUGCGGACUUG